rnacentral:rRNA from 1 species
AUGAACGCUAGCUACAGGCUUAACACAUGCAAGUCGAGGGGCAGCAUCAUCAAAGCUUGCUUUGAUGGAUGGCGACCGGCGCACGGGUGAGUAACACGUAUCCAACCUGCCGACAACACUGGGAUAGCCUUUCGAAAGAAAGAUUAAUACCGGAUGGCAUAGUUUUCCCGCAUGGGAUAAUUAUUAAAGAAUUUCGGUUGUCGAUGGGGAUGCGUUCCAUUAGGCAGUUGGCGGGGUAACGGCCCACCAAACCAACGAUGGAUAGGGGUUCUGAGAGGAAGGUCCCCCACAUUGGAACUGAGACACGGUCCAAACUCCUACGGGAGGCAGCAGUGAGGAAUAUUGGUCAAUGGACGAGAGUCUGAACCAGCCAAGUAGCGUGAAGGAUGACUGCCCUAUGGGUUGUAAACUUCUUUUAUACGGGAAUAAAGUUAGCCACGUGUGGCUUUUUGUAUGUACCGUAUGAAUAAGGAUCGGCUAACUCCGUGCCAGCAGCCGCGGUAAUACGGAGGAUCCGAGCGUUAUCCGGAUUUAUUGGGUUUAAAGGGAGCGUAGGCGGGUUGUUAAGUCAGUUGUGAAAGUUUGCGGCUCAACCGUAAAAUUGCAGUUGAUACUGGCGACCUUGAGUGCAACAGAGGUAGGCGGAAUUCGUGGUGUAGCGGUGAAAUGCUUAGAUAUCACGAAGAACUCCGAUUGCGAAGGCAGCUUACUGGAUUGUAACUGACGCUGAUGCUCGAAAGUGUGGGUAUCAAACAGGAUUAGAUACCCUGGUAGUCCACGCCGUAAACGAUGGAUACUAGGUGUAGGAGGUAUCGACCCCUCCUGUGCCGGAGUUAACGCAAUAAGUAUCCCGCCUGGGAAGUACGAUCGCAAGAUUAAAACUCAAAGGAAUUGACGGGGGCCCGCACAAGCAGUGGAGUAUGUGGUUUAAUUCGAAGCAACGCGAAGAACCUUACCAGGUCUUGACAUCCGAUGCAUAGCGCAGAGAUGCGUGAAGUCCUUCGGGACAUCGAGACAGGUGGUGCAUGGUUGUCGUCAGCUCGUGUCGUGAGAUGUUGGGUUAAGUCCCGCAACGAGCGCAACCCUUACGGGUAGUUACCAUCAGGUUAUGCUGGGGACUCUACCCGGACUGCCGUCGUAAGAUGUGAGGAAGGUGGGGAUGACGUCAAAUCAGCACGGCCCUUACGUCCGGGGCUACACACGUGUUACAAUGGGGGGUACAGAAGGCAGCUACACGGCGACGUGGUGCUAAUCCCGAAAGCCUCUCUCAGUUCGGAUUGGAGUCUGCAACCCGACUCCAUGAAGCUGGAUUCGCUAGUAAUCGCGCAUCAGCCACGGCGCGGUGAAUACGUUCCCGGGCCUUGUACACACCGCCCGUCACACCAUGAGAGUCGGUAACACCCGAAGCCGGUGGCCUAACCGCAAGGAAGGAGCUGUCUAAGGUGGGACUGAUGAUUGGGGUG